AAGUAGCAGUUAGCAAUGAUGCUUGGGUUUUUUUAUGCUGUUUUAUUUUAUUAUUAUUUUAGUUUUUCCUUCCUUUGGCAAGUCUUCUUUUUCUUUGGCAAGAUAUCCAAGCCUCUGUACUGACCCAUAAAUACAUUGAGGGCAAUUCUUUAGAGGCAUGGGGAGGACCAAGCUGGCACGCCUUUUUCCUGGAAGCUACCAGCAGGUGUUCAACAAUCCGAUGAAAAGCUUGUUAUCUGUAGCUAUUUUUGGAAUGAUAGGAGGAUGUUGCCUUUUAAGCAAAGUGCCUAAAUUAUUCUUUGCUUAGAGAUGGACAUUUGGUCUUUCUCAACAUCCUGGACUACAAAUCCCAACACUGCUUAACAGCAUGUUCAAUGAGAAAGGACUAGGGGUUUCAUCUGGAAAUGGUGAGAAACUGCAGUUGAUUUUUGCAGUUGCAGGUUCCCUUGUGUCAGGAAAUACUCUAGGACACACAGGGUGCAACUCGUUUUACUGAGGCAGAGCUUAAAUAGGUAUGCUAAUUUAGGAUUGAAAAUAUAUCCAGAAUAAUUUUCAAAAGACUUGAGACCAUUCUCUUCCUCUAGGAUUUGCCAAAGGACUAUCUUUUGGUCAGAUCAGAUGGAGGUCUUUUUUUUUUUUAGUCUGGGACUUAUUUAUUGCUGAAGAUAAAAGAAUACACUCCUAUCCCAUCUCUAAGAAAGGCAAUUUCUGGAAUAACUACCGGUAUAUCAUUAGGCUGCAAAAAUGCAGAUGCUCUCAAGAUAGCAACAAAGGGAAUGAAGUCAGAACUAAAGAAGCUUCUUGGAUGAGAAGCAAAACAUCUUCAAAGAACAACCAGAAAGUCCAGUUGCCUCUUGGAAAAGCACCUUUGGGACAAACAUGACCUGGAUGACUGAUGAUCUCCAGACAUUUAGCAAAGCUCUUUGCUUUCUAGAGACAAUUACCUUAUCCCAUUUUUACUGCAGAUAAGUUUAUCUCUGUGAGAUUUAAAAGUAACCAUCACAGUAAUCUAUGUGGUGGUUGCUAGGAACUGAAAACAGCCUGAUGGCACAUAAUCCAUCACAGGAACCAGGACUUUGAUAUUAUCAAUUGAAUAGGUCAUCCACUUUGUUCUUGAUUACACAAUCAACUCUUCCUGGUUCACCAUAUUUUACAUUUUUUGACCAACACAAAGUACUCCACAUUUAUAUUACCAUAAACAACCUCACUUUCAACUGGAAUGAAUUGAAGGAUGAAGAAAUUCAUCAGCAGUCAAGAAUUCAAUCAUGGUCCUCAACAUUCCAUCCAUCAGCUCCCAGAGUCGUGAUUAAACUUGGCAACCAGUCUGGACUUCCAACCUUUGCAACAUCCUGAAAUGGUUCUGUGGAAACCAAGAGGUCCUCUUGUAUCCAUGCAUACCUGAGAUUUCUCACAGGCACGAUACAGUCCAAUCCAAUGUGAUUGUCACGUGCUCAUCCCAAGAGGAGGCUAAAGCCUCAGUCAAGCCAUGCAACAGGGCAUGGGAACAACUCCAAGCUAAUUCUGAAACCCAUUUGGCUCAUCAGGAAUCUGGGGUUGACUGAUCAAAUAAGCCUUUCCUCCUUGAGGCAGGAGCAACCACAGAGAAUAUCAAGGUUAACAGAGAAUUGUCUGUCCAUGAUAAGGAACCAAUGGUAACAUUCCCAACUCCCAAUCACAGCACCACUAACUAAGACAAAACCCAGAACUAUUGUGUGACCCCCACUGUCAAUAACCUGCAUCAGUUUGAUGGCUGCUGUAGUAGCCAUGAUCAUGGUAGAAUGUGGAUAUUCAUUAAGAUGAAGAGACGAAUCAAAAUUCUCAUUCUGAAAACCAUUUAUGAGAAACAAGAAAUUAUUUUAAGGGAUGAGUUCAGAAAAAGAAUGAUUCAGAACAAGGGGCUGUAUGAUAAUAAUGCAAGCAAAUGUAUAAUAAUGGCACAACUGGAAAAGACAGCAAAUUUUCAAGACAUUAACAGUUUUAGAUAUGCAGAUAAUACCAUAUUAUUGGUUGAUAAUAAAAAAGAGUUAGAAGAGUGCAUCAUGAUUGUAAAAAACAGAAAGUGACAAAUGUUAAAUAUUAAAGAAAAAUAAUGGCAGGCAGUAUGCUUACUGAAUUUACAGUAAGUUCCUGGCAAAGCAGUAUUUGGAGGGGGUUUGAACAGAGACACUACUCGGGUAUAAUCCUAUUUAGGUCUUCGGCCACUCUUGUAUUCUAGGGUGCAAUUUAUUUAUUUAUUUAUUUAUAAUUUAAUUUCUAUACCGCCCUUCUCCCGAAGGACUCAGGGCGGUUUACAGCCAUAUUAAAAUACAAAUAUAAAUAACAAUUUUAAAAACCAAUUAAAACCAAAUAUUUAAUGGCCAAAUCAACUAAAACGGUCAAAGACCAAUUUAAAACCCAUUUAAAAUUACAAUAAAAUAUUUGUUAGGCUAGUCCCGCGCAAUGAAAUAGUAGAGUCUUCAGUUCACGUUUGAAGGCCCGGAGGUCAGGGAGUUGGCGUAACCCCGGAGGCAGCUCGUUCCAUAGGGUCGGUGCUGCCACAGAGAAGGCCCUCCCCCUGGGGGCCGCCAACCGACAUUGUUUGGUUAAGCCCCAACAGCACUGUUCAUUAUAUCCUCAAGAAAAAACUCCAAGCACCCUCUGGAAAUCAGAAGGAUCCAUAACAUGCCUAAAGUAGACUGAUCUACAAGGUCAGUGCUACCUGUGGAUAUUCAUUGCACUGAUCAAGGGAGCCAGAAAGUGCUCUUGCCAUAGCAAGAUCCAAUAACUCAAGAGUAUAAUCCAAUUGCAAUAGGUGGCCCUAUAUGUGAUUGAGGCCCAAUUACCUUGGGCAUGCUCACGGUAGUCAUAGUGGUUAUGAACUCAAGCUGAUUGUUUCCCACCCACCCCCCAGCUUUGAGAAGUUAGAUGAAAGUCCUCCAGUACUAUUGGGAUACUCGGCUGCAGAUCCUAGGCAAAGGCCAGGACUCAGAUAGGGAGUGAUAGUGGAUAGUGGAUAGUACAACAGCAGCCCCAACUUGUCACUCCAUGAGCUGCUGCAAAAAAAAUUAUGAUGAUUCAAUAUUAUAGGAGGCAUAUGUUUAAAACUGUGAAAAGACUGGCAUCAGUUUACUUACCAGAUGCUUGUUUCCUGGCCGAUUUAACAUAUAGGUCUGUAGUCAGUUAUAACCACAUUGCUGUAUUCUUUUCAGACAUGUGAUUUCUCUAAAAGUAUGGUUUUCUCCUGAAGAAAAAUGUGUAUGUUUAUAGAUCAUUAUGCUUAUGCCAAUUCUGUAUUUCUUCUCUAUUUGUCAUACUAUCUGGGUUGAGUCACUUUUAAUGCACUUUGAACCCUUGCGCCCGUUUAGUUUUGUAAGCAGAGAGCUUUGUUCUGACACUGUAUUUUCCAGUGCCCCUUGUUUAUCAGACCCAAGAAGCUGUAUUUAAAUCACCAAACCCAUGCAAACACUUCCUGAUUGAUAACCUAUGUCCUUCUACAGAUACUGCUCGACUAACCAGCAGCCACUUAGUGACCAUUCAAAGUUAUGAUGGACCUCCAGAGAUCUACUUACAACCUGGUUUUCAAAUUCUGAAGGCUCUCCACUCUCACGUAAUCAUGUUUUGGUCAUUCGGUAACCAGCCCACAUUUACAGCCAUUGCAAGUGUCCCACCGUCAUGUGACCAGAAUUUAUAUUUUUUUUGCCAAAAAUCAAUAUUUUACUUCUGGUUUCUGGCAAAAAUAGCAGAAUAACAGAAUAAUAGAAUGACAAGAGUUAGAAGGACCUUGAAGGUCUUUUAAUCCAAACCCUUGCUCAGGCAGGAAGCCCUAUACAAUUUCAGACAAAUGGUUGUCCAAUCUAGCCAUUAUAGGUACAAUGGAUUUCCAAUGUAUUUUUUGCCAGAAAUGAGAAAAAAUGGAUCUGUUUAAUGACCACAAUGUUCAGUUAGCAAUCAUCACAAAAGAGUAGAUAAAAUCCACUAUCAUAUGGUGACCUGCUGAACAACUGGUUACACGUCAAUAACUUCCUGGAUAACGAAUAUUUUGAACAUAUUUUGCCAAAAAUAUAUAUAUAUAACCAUUAGCUGGCAGGAAAGAAUUUGAGCUGAAAGGGUCAAAGUUUAAAUCAUGAAUUAACCUACUGAAAAAUCACUCUGGUUUUUGGGGGCCAGAAGCAGCACUGCCCCCACAUCCUUAACUACAAAAGGGGUCACACCCUGGGCCAUUAGCAGAGACAUGAGCUCAUUCCCUGAACCUGCAGUACAAGAUGAAUAGAAUUGCAACUGUCAAUGAAUGAUCCUACAAGUGCACAGGUGGCAGCUAGGAACAGACUAAAACCAGAAAAAGAUGACAUGCCAGUUCUUUUCUAGAAGGGUCAUACUUAGCUUUUCAUUAUUUCAUCUCUUCUAUAUGAUUUUAAGAUAUCGAAAUGGAGCCCUAAUUUUAUGCCUAACGUAAUUAUAUAAAUAUAAUUUAUGCCUAAUCUGGCUUCUUUGCAGAGAUACUGGUGAUUUGAGAAAAAUAAAAAUAUAGAGCCCAAGUUCUUUUUCUCACUGAAUGCUAUGACUAUACUGUAUUAUGUAUUUACCGUGAUAGCUGAUAAAUUAGUUAUAGGCAUAUCAAACUGGAGGCCGGAACUGGCCCACGGGGUGCUUAGAUCUGGCCUGAGGGGCCGCCCUAGAAACAGUGAAGGACUGGCCCGCGGGGCUUUUGCCAGUGGAAACAGAGCUCAUAAGGACUGUGGGCAGCCCUCCUGACCUCCAUUUUCACUGGCAGAGAGUUGCAGGAGGCUGUCACAGCUGAAAACGGAGUUCAGGAGCCCGUUUUCCCUGGCAGAGCACUCACACCACCACAAGCGCCCCAUCAUGUUGAGUUGGCCAUGCCCCCCCUACCCACCCACCCCAGGUCAAACACAACUCUGAUGCAGCCAUCAAUGAAAUCGAAUUUGACACCCCUGACCUAGUACAUGAGUGAAAAAACCCAAAAUAUAGAAAUUACUUUUGAGUUUAUAUUUAUUUUACUAUCUUGAAUGAUUUAGAUAAAGCCACUUCCAUCUAUAGGCCCAGGAGAAUACCUUAAUCCCAAUGUUUUAAAUUUGUAAGGUUUUUUUUAAAAAACCCUCAUUUAUUUAAAAUCAAAAAUCUUCUAGACAGUUGUAGAUUUGGCUCUUCUGUAAAGCAUAAACUGACAGCACCUCACUUCCUCUGCCCCAAAUUAAAUCUAACCAAGAAGAGUUUCUUCAAGGAAAUGGAGGAAACAGAUCCGACUCAGAAUUUCAAUGUGUGAUCAUUAGAGACCAGUUUGGGUUUAUUUAAUGCUAACAUCUGGCUGAAAAAAUUCUGACUCACUUUUUGCUGCCCAGAUAUGGGAGCUUUGGGAUUAUUGGUUGAUUAAUGGGAGGCAUAGCAAACUUUAUCCAGGAAAGAAAAUGGUAAAUUAAAGCCAUAUGUUUUGGAAAGAAGUUGAUUUUUAAAGGCUCCUUCCUAAUCUGGACACCAUGUAGCAGUUGGAAAUAUAUUGCCAAUAUCAACGAUCAUUACUAUUGGUUUUAUUACUGGAUGCUAAAGAUGAGCAGAAGUGAAGCUGUCAGGCUGGCUACCUUGCAGACUUGUUAUGAGAAUGCCAUGUGCUGACUUUAAGAGACACAGCUUCUACAUAAAGAAGAGACUCACUGUUGUCCAGAUCCCACUUUAUUCUGGGAGCGAUUAAGGUGAACAUCUUAUAGGAUUUGUCCAGUGACAUCUAUGUCCCAAGACUUUGCUGGGGGGACCAUCUGAAACCCGGGCCAGUGAAGAGAGGCUCUUAAGGCUUUGUGGGGAAUGGCAAAGGAUCAUGUGGCAAUGUGCAAGUCCACGAUGCAAAGUAGUUGGCAGAGCUAGGAUUUCCUCUUGGUCAUUUGGGUGUAGGGGGGAUGCCUUCGGUUUUGCUUUGGUGGGCUGCUAACAAGAGUUAUUGAAUUGCCAUGAAUUGUGCCAGCAGUACAGUACAAGAACAAUUAUUCUGUUCUGGAAGGAAUAUUCCUUUCAUCUAAUUUAAUGAAAAGAACGAGUAGGGGUGACAUUAUAGCAGUGUUCCAAUAUUUAAGGGGCUGCCACAAAGUAGAGAGGGUCAGUCUAUUCUCCAAAGCACCUGAAGGCAGGACAAGAAGGAACAGAUGGAAACUAAUCAAGGAAAAAACCAAUCUAAAACUAAGGAGAAAUUUCCUGACAGAAUAAUUAAUCAGUGGAACAAUUUGCUUCCAGAAAUUGUGGGUGUUCCAACAUUGGAUGUUUGUCUGAAAUGGUGUAAGGUUUCCUGCCUGAGCCAGGUGUUGGACUAGAAGACCUCCAAGGUCCCUUUGAACUCUGUUAUUCUUUCCCAUCUAAAGUUCCUUCAGCCAGUUCUCCUCUUCAAAUAAUAUCUUUCAUUACUUUAUCCUCUGUUAUCUUGCUCCUCUUCUGUGCCUCCACUCAUUUCUUCCUUGUCCUUCCUUGUCCUGAUUUUAAUUCCCUAUAUCUUAUUUCAAGAAGAGUCUGUGCAUUUGACUUCAUAGAACCACAAGAAAAAAGAAUUACCCACAAUAGAAGAAUGGAUAUUGAAAGUUUCCAAUUUGGCUGAGAUGGCUAAAAUCUCAGCCUUCUUGAAAGACAGCACUCAAGAAAAAUAUCUAAAUGAAUGGAAGAAUUGACUAUAUUCAAAAUAGAUAUCAGAUUAAGAGAUAUCAGAUUGCCUUUGAAUGAAGGAUGUGGUUUUUGAUUUUAAUGGAAGAAGUCAGAGAAGGAUUAUAAUUGGGUUAGAUUUCGAAAAUUUUAUGUAUGAAUGUUUGUUUAUUGAACUAUACCUUGU